UCGUUCAUCUCAGGCGAAUAAACUCAUUUUUAAGAGAAAUGUGACUUUUCAAAACGUUAAACUUGUUGGAAAUGAGGCUCUAUAAGCAGGAUAAACACGUGGAUUGGAACUGAGACCUGUUCACAAAAAAGGGUGGGACCAUGUCAUUUUUUGACGACACAGCUGCAGAUGCUCCGGUCAGGGAUGUCCCUCAGAGUGUCCCCAGACUCGAUCUAGAAUCAGAAUGGCGACAUUUACUCCAAGUAAACUACCACCUGCAUGUGGCAAAUUGUCACAUGAUGUGAGAAGGAAGUUGGUCCUGCUAAAUUAUCAAAUGCACGAUCCUGGUCUCACAGCCCUGGAGAAGUCAGAGCUGUUUCUUGAUUACAGCUUUGAGUUUUUACAAAAGUAUGAGAGUGUCAUAUGUCACACAAGAUGUCAAGAGGAGGAGAUUUUUAGAAAACAGCAGGAUCUACAAAAACUUAAAAAAAAAAAAUCAAGAAGUCCUGGAACACAAGAUGUCAAGAGGAGGAGAUUUUUAGAAAACAGCAGGAUCUACAAAAACUUUUUUUUAAAAUCAAGAAGUCCUGGAACUUCUUUUCACAAGUGAUGUAGAGGAAGAAAAAUAGACAAGACUGAACUUUCAUUCUCCACGAAUCCCCCCUCUGCAGCUGUUUUGAGACUGAAGGAGCCCCAAAAAAAUGCCUGAAGAAGAUGUGCCUGAUGAAGAAUCUGUGCCUGAACAAGUUGUGCUGAGCACCACUGAGCAGUGACCAGCCAAAGCUGAGAAAAGAAAGAAUGCUGACU